ensembl:lncRNA
UCACUAUUUAUUCUCUUCUUCUUUUCUUCUAGACUUCUUCUGUAAAUCGCUUGUAGUUUGAGCACAGUUGGAUCGAGCUUGAGGAUGGUUCACGUGUUACAUGUCGUGCCUAUGUGUCACCGGCCCACGUUUUCUGAGGAAUUUCUUUUGCUGAAAGUCUGUGCUGGAUUCUCAGAGAACUGCAAGAGGCUCUCCAAAUUAUGCUACAAUGGGUACCAAAAGGCUUAGCUGGAACCCCUUUGAGACUUUAUCAAGCAAAGGCAAAUCUGACUCCAAGCUCCAGCCAGGUGGAAAGAUUUCCCGUGAUCCAAGUCCCAGCCCAGCAAUGACGGCCCAGUCGGAGCGAGAGAGAGACAGUAGGCGAGAGGAAGACCGGAGGAGCGAGAGAGAGACGUUAAAAAUGAGGGACAAAGCCAGAAGCAAAGAAACGGACCCACGGGAUAGGUACUAUGGAAGGGAUCGAGCUCCUGCACUCCGGCCCAGAGAGGGAGAAAGAGAGUGGAGGGAGAGAGAAAGGAGGCAAGGAGAAGACAGAAGCAGGAACGGCAGGCUGCUGUCGAAUCUAGAG